UGCCUCUCUGCUCUAAGAUCUUUGGUGGGAGAUGGUAUUUAUCUUUAUUAGAAAAUACACCAAAAAUGAAAAUAGACUGCAGUUUUAUUAAUAUGGUGGUGAGUGAUGACGCAGUGCUUUCCUCGUAUUUAGGCUGCAGUAGAUCACCAUGUUAAGUUUUCCCCAUAUGGCAAUUAUGCCUCAUUUGCCAAUAAAUAUGAAUUGUUAGGUGUGGAGUUUCUUGUGGUGCAAGAUGGGAAAAUAAACUCAUUCUACUCAAUAAACUAUGCAUUAUUCAAUGCUAUUUUUCCAGGAACAAUGUUGAAGUACUUUGGAGAACAACCAACUUUACCUUCCCCUAAUGUUUCAUCUAGUGUCAGUGCCUCCACAGCUGAUGAUGCAGCAGGUUCAUCCGCUGCACAAGCGAUUAAAAGCGAGGAGCAGUUACAUGCGCCUGAAAGCAAGGAGCAGUUACAAGCACCUACAUUCACCGAUGCGUUGGUUUCAAAAUCAGCCGGCAUGACAGGUCCUUCUACAUCUGCACCCACUGCUAUAGAUUUACCAUCCACUGCCUCAACAAGCUCCAGCUAUCAAGAUAGAUCAACAGCUCCUCCAAUUGACCCAGUUGAAUGGUCAGCAUUCCUCUCAGGCUUAGAAAGGACUGA